UGAUACACAUAUGCAGCCAUCACCUAAAAUAAUACUAGAUAUUACAUAUUGGAAUAACACACCAAUUUAAAAUUCUCAAACAAAUACCAGCACUUUUAAGACAGGCAUGGUGGUUCACAUGUAUAGUCUUAGCAUUGGGGUGCUGAGCCAGGAAGAUGAGUUUGAGGCCAGUCUGGGCUACAAAGUGAGUUCAAAACCAGCCUGAACUGCAUAGUGAGACCUUGUCUCAAAAAGUGCAAGAAAAAAACAAAAAACAAAAACAAAAAUCAUCACUUUUACAAUGAAUAGUACUUUAUGAGGUAUACACCAGGGCAAUAAGUCAGUUAAUCAUUAAAAUUUCUUAGGAGGCAUCAAACCCAACUUGUCCUUGUAAAUGACAAUUUUUGAUAUACAGACUUUUUAUUAGGAUGAAUAUCUUUCUUCUUUUACCCUUACAGAUAUGGUUCAGACAAUCGUUUGAGAUUUGAAGAGAAGUUAUAUAAAUGUAAUGAACAUAGAAAAACCUGCAGUGAUUUCCAGUCCUUUCAGGAGCAUGAAAUGAGAAAGUCUGGAGAGAAACCACACCAAUAUGAGCAAUAUGGCGAGGCCAACUCUGAUCUUACUGAACAAACUCUCCCUUGGGAGAAAACCUUCUUAGGUGGCCUUGAUAGUGACAGUCUACAGGAAUGUGGGACUCAUUCAUCUGCAAGCCACCUGCUUUUCCUGAGGCAUCACCAGCAGGUAUCUGGGCCAGAUAAGUUUCUUUUUCCACCGAUGGAGGAUGAGUCUCUAGCCGGCCCCCGUAACGCAGGCAGUAAGAAAUCUAGCCUGGAAUCUAAAGGCCUUGCCAUUGCCCAUCAACUCUUUUUGAGUUCUCGCAUUGAAGGGACUGUAGUACCAUGAAGAAAGGCCUUGAGAACACUGGGC
rnacentral:lncRNA from 1 species